CCAGAUGGCCGGAUGGCCGCUUGGCGCGCAAGCGCCGAGAGGAAAGUCCGGGCUCCACGGAAACACGGUGCCGGAUAACGUCCGGCGGGGGCGACCCUAGGGAAAGUGCCGCAGAGAGUAGACCGCCGGUGGGUUUCCACCGGUAAGGGUGAAAGGGUGCGGUAAGAGCGCACCGCGUCUCCGGUAACGGAGAUGGCAGGGUAAACCCCACCGGGAGCAAGACCAAAUAGGGGCGGCAACGCCGCAAGGCAGGUGCGUUUCCGCAUCGCUGCCCGGGUCGGUCGCUAGAGGCGUCGGGCAACCGGCGUCCCAGAGGAAUGGUCAUCCCCUGUGAAAACAGGGACAGAACCCGGCUUACAGGCCAUCUGGCAUU
rnacentral:RNase_P_RNA from 1 species